GUCCCUAUAGCACAUUGGAUAGUGCUUUGGACUUCUAACCCAAAGGUUCGAAUCCCACCUGGGAUG